UACGGAGGGUGCAAGCGUUGUCCGGAUUUAUUGGGUUUAAAGGGUGCGUAGGCGGCUAUUUAAGUCAGUGGUGAAAUCCUGCAGCUCAACUGUAGAAUUGCCAUUGAUACUGGAUAGCUUGAGUACAGACGAGGUAGGCGGAAUUUAUGGUGUAGCGGUGAAAUGCAUAGAUACCAUAAAGAACUCCUAUUGCGAAGGCAGCUUACUAGGCUGUAACUGACGCUGAGGCACGAAAGCGUGGGGAUCAAACAGG
rnacentral:rRNA from 1 species